AAAUCAAGAAAAUUUGGGGAAAAUUGGGAAUAAAACACAAGUUGGGAGAAAAUUAAGGGAAUAUGGGGGAAAUCCAGGAAAAUUUGGGGAAAAUUGGAGGUAACAGGACAAGUUAAGGGGAAAAUUAAGGGAAUAUGGGGGGAAAUCUGAAAAUUCAGGAAAAUUGGGGAUAAUAAGUCAAAUUAGGGG